rnacentral:rRNA from 1 species
GAUUAACACUCGUACCUUUUGCAUCAUGAUUUAGCCAGUAAAACCCAAGCAAAGAGAAUUUUAGUUUGACCCCCCGAAACUAGAUGAGCUACUCCAAGGCAGCCUGACUUACAGGGCAAACCCGUCUCUGUGGCAAAAGAGUGGGAAGAACUUCGAGUAGGAGUGACAGACCUAUCGAAUCUAGUUAUAGCUGGUUGCCUGAAUAAUGGAUAGGAGUUCAGCCUUUGGGCUUCUUUACUCACUAAGCAUCUUACAAUUCACGUACUAUGAAGCGGACAACAAGAAACCCAUAGAGUUAGUCAAAGGAGGUACAGCUCCUUUGACCUAAGACACAACUUUUCAGACUGGGUAAAGAUCAUAACAACCCUAAAGGUAGGGUGUUUUUGUGGGCCUAAAAGCAGCCACCCCUAUAAAAAGCGUUAAAGCUUAAACAUCAACCCAACCUAAUUAUUCCGACAUUAUAAUCUAAACCCCUCCGCACUAUCAGGCCUUCCCAUGCAACCAUGGGAGAGACCAUGCUAAUAUGAGUAAUAAGAGGGCUUCCGCCCCUCUCCCCGCACAC